rnacentral:lncRNA from 1 species
UAAGCAUCUUCAGAAAAAGGAUUACUUCUUAUUCACUGUUGUAUCUCCAGAGCCUGAUAUAAUACAUGGAAGGUAUUCAAUAAAUGUUAAUUGAAUGACUAUCGAAUACAGUGAAUUGCCUCUAGAUCUCUUAUGACAGUCUCAUGUGGGCCCCACUCAGAGAGAGAAGCCACUGGAAAACUGUAUUGCCUGCAGAGUCCAACGUAAGUGUUAAUUGUGACUGGUGAUUUUAGUGAUAAUCAUCUUAUCUUAGAGACUGUUGUUUGGAAAAUAUUUCCCAAUAAAAGGCCACCACGAGUAACA